rnacentral:rRNA from 1 species
GACGAACGCUGGCGGCGUGCUUAACACAUGCAAGUCGAGCGAUGAAGUUCCUUCGGGAAUGGAUUAGCGGCGGACGGGUGAGUAACACGUGGGUAACCUGCCUCAUAGAGGGGAAUAGCCUUUCGAAAGGAAGAUUAAUACCGCAUAAGAUUGUAGUACCGCAUGGUACAGCAAUUAAAGGAGUAAUCCGCUAUGAGAUGGACCCGCGUCGCAUUAGCUAGUUGGUGAGGUAACGGCUCACCAAGGCGACGAUGCGUAGCCGACCUGAGAGGGUGAUCGGCCACAUUGGGACUGGGACACGGCCCAGACUCCUACGGGAGGCAGCAGUGGGGAAUAUUGCACAAUGGGGGAAACCCUGAUGCAGCAACGCCGCGUGAGUGAUGACGGUCUUCGGAUUGUAAAGCUCUGUCUUCAGGGACGAUAAUGACGGUACCUGAGGAGGAAGCCACGGCUAACUACGUGCCAGCCGCCGCCGUAA